UACAGAGGGGGCAAGCGUUAUUCGGAAUUAUUGGGCGUAAAGGGCGCGUAGGCGGCUUGGCAAGUGGAAGGUGAAAUCCCUCGGCUUAACCGAGGAACUGCCCUCCAAACUGCUUGGCUUGAGACCGGGAGAGGUGAGUGGAAUUCCCAGUGUAGCGGUGAAAUGCGUAGAUAGUUGGGAGGAACACCAGUGGCGAAGGCGGCUCACUGGACCGGUACUGACGCUGAUGCGCGAAAGCGUGAGGAGCAAACGGG
rnacentral:rRNA from 1 species